ACUACUUGAAGGAGGGUUGUCAACAAUUUCGUCCCCGACGAGUUUUGUCCAGGGCCUGUCCCAGAUGCUGUUAUUCAGGCAUUGAAUGAUGAGAAUAUUGAAGAUGAUGAAGGGUCCAUCACAAGCUUCCCAUGCAAUGCUGGUUCCACAUCAUAUACACCGCCUCCAUCUUCUUCGGUUGCGGCCAUGUUACAAGAUGUGGGAAGACAAAGUUCACUAAGAUGUGUUUCAUUUGCUCCUAUAAAGCUAUAUAACAGUGAUGAUGAACUUGAAAAAUUGGAUUCUCCCCUUUCUGCACUUGGACUUGGCAUUGAUGACUCAUCAGUUGCAGCAAUAAAGGGUGGUCGCAAGGUUCUUAGAUAUCAGCUCUUGAGACAAGUAUGGAAGAAUAGUCAAUCAUAACUUUUUUUUCCUAAUGAUUGUUUUACUUGCCUCUUGUGUAUAUUUUUUAUGUACAAUUUAGCCAUAAUGUUUAUUAAGUAAUUGAUAUCUGUAUAUUUAUGCUUUUCAAAAAAGAAAAAAAUAAGAAUCUGUAUAUGUAUGCAGUUUUUAGAGUAUCAUUUUUUCCCCC